rnacentral:rRNA from 1 species
GACAGAGGGGGCAAGCGUUGCUCGGAAUUACUGGGCGUAAAGGGCGCGUAGGCGGGAUGGCAAGUCGGUCGUGAAAUCCCUCGGCUCAACCGAGGAACGUCGAUCGAUACUGCUGUUCUUGAGGAUUGCAGAGGAGACUGGAAUUCCCGGUGUAGCGGUGAAAUGUGUAGAUCGGGAGGAACACCGGUGGCGAAGGCGGGUCUCUGGGCAGUAACUGACGCUGAGGAGCGAAAGCAUGGGGAGCAAACAGG